GACGAACGCUGGCGGCGUGCUUAACACAUGCAAGUCGAACGGUGAAGCGCCUUCCUUUUUGGUGGGUGUGGAUGAGUGGCGAACGGGUGAGUAACACGUGAGUAACCUGCCCCCUUCUUCUGGAUAACCGCAUGAAAGUGUGGCUAAUACGGGAUAUUCUGGGUCUGUCGCAUGAUGGGUCUGGGAAAGAUAUUGUUUCGGUGGGGGAUGGGCUCGCGGCCUAUCAGCUUGUUGGUGGGGUGAUGGCCUACCAAGGCGGUGACGGGUAGCCGGCCUGAGAGGGUGGACGGUCACACUGGGACUGAGACACGGCCCAGACUCCUACGGGAGGCAGCAGUGGAGAAUAGUGCACAAUGGGCGCAAGCCUGAUGCAGCGACGCCGCGUGAGGGAUGGAGGCCUGCGGGUUGUGAACCUCUUUCGCCAGUGAAGCAGGCCUGCCUCGUUUGUGGGUGGGUUGACGGUAGCUGGAUAAGAAGCGCCGGCUAACUACGUG
rnacentral:rRNA from 1 species